AAAAUAAACAGAAUUGUGACGUCAUAAAGAAGAUAGAUUAUAUAGUUAGU
rnacentral:guide_RNA from 1 species